rnacentral:rRNA from 1 species
UACGGAGGAUGCGAGCGUUAUCCGGAUUUAUUGGGUUUAAAGGGUGCGUAGGCGGGCUUUUAAGUCAGCGGUAAAAAUUCGGGGCUCAACCCCGUCCGGCCGUUGAAACUGCGGGUCUUGAGUGGGCGAGAAGAAGGCGGAAUGCGCGGUGUAGCGGUGAAAUGCAUAGAUAUCACGCAGAACCCCGAUUGCGAAGGCAGCCUUCCGGCGCCCUACUGACGCUGAGGCGCGGAAGUGCGGGGAUCGAACAGG